rnacentral:rRNA from 1 species
GUAGGUGGCGAGCGUUGUCCGGAUUUACUGGGCGUAAAGCGCGCGCAGGCGGGCUGAUCAGCCCGGGGUGAAAUCUCACGGCUCAACUGUGAGGCGUCCCCGGAUACUUCCAGCCUUGAGGUACCUAGAGGAGAGUGGAAUUCCCGGUGUAGUGGUGGAAUGCGUAGAUAUCGGGAGGAACACCAGUGGCGAAAGCGGCUCUCUGGGGGUUACCUGACGCUGAGGCGCGAAAGCGUGGGGAGCGAACCGGAUUAGAUACCCGGGUAGUCCACGCCGUAAACGAUGAGCACUAGCUGUCGGGGGUAUCGACCCCCCUCGGUAGCGUAGCUAACGCGUUAAGUGCUCCGCCUGGGGACUACGGCCGCAAGGCUA